CCGGCGUGGCUGUGGCCGAGGCUGGGUCACGGACUGCCCGUACCCGGUGGAAGCAAGGGAAGGCCGUGUUUAGAUUGCGGAAAAUGAGGGCUCUGCGGCCGUCUCAGAACCAUGUGGCUGUCGUACUAGGAGGAAGUCCAAGGGAACCUUGUGGAGAUGCCACUCCAUGCAGGAGGACUGAAGAACAUAGCUAAAAUCCAGGAUCAAAACUUUGGGGAUAUAACUUCAAUCAAGCUAAUCCAGCUGAAAACACAGACAUCAUUGAGCAGACAGAAGCCAUCCCUGGCCAAAUUCCUGGCCCAUACUUUUGUGAGCAAGUGAAAUGGUUGCUGUUUGAGUCAUUAGAUUUGGGGCUGGUUUGUUAUGUACCAAAAGCACUGUAGAUCAUCUAGAAUGCUAGGUAAACAUGGCCCAAAUGUGAUUAUGCAGUAGUAAUACUAUUUUUAUCCAGGUUGCCAGAAGAGGCAGCCUCAGCUCUUUAUUACUUUCUUCUUCUCCUACCCUUUUCUCACCUCAUUCUCACAAAUCCAUUUUCUGUGUUAGAAACUACAGCCCAUACCUCCUCUAUCCGGUGGCCCUUGCUUUGCUUUUUAUUGAGCUAUAAGUAGAAGAGGGUGUGGGACCAUACUGUUAGGCUCCAGUCUAAUCUGCAAGGGGAUUUCCCCCCUACAGUAAUGGGGUGGGGGGAGGCUACCUACUAGAAAGAGUUACAAAAAUGAUGCUUUGUUAAUUUUUUCUCAUGUGCUUUGUUGUUUUAACAAUUUUAUAGUUGUUCAACUAUAGCUGGCUAACUGAUCUAAAGAUAAUGAAGCGAUGACUAUAUUUAGUCUUCUUGACUAUACCUAGCCAGGGAACUGAGACCCUACAUUUGAUGACAGUAAGAAAGUAAGACAAUGGGCAAGCAAGCAAGCAAGAGAUUAGAAGGAAUGAUGGUUCGCCAUAGCAGGUCAGAUAGAUACUCUAAGGGAACUUUGAACUAUGAAGGAAAAUUGACUCUAUAAAAGGAGGAUGAUGUUUUGUUAUCAUAAUAAUACACCAAAGCCUAUACUAUUGCCUCAGCACUCCAGUGAUCUUGGUUAUUUUGUAACAUUGCUGUUUGGAAGUGGUAGUUUGAAGAACAUGGUCUCCGGAUUGGGUCUUUGCCAUUGGAUACCUUUUGGGUCCACCUGCAAGGAGAAGUGGGCAACUUUCUUCUCACCUAGAGUUCUUGUUAAGAGCCUCAUUUCCUGGAAAGCCUCAUUUAGGCUGACUCUUAACGAAAGUGGCACUGCCCUUAACCAGCAAGUGCAUAGAUCACUCUAAGUACUUGUCUAGGAACACAAUGUUGGACUCAUUGCCAUUUGAGUCCCAUAAAACACUAGCUUGAGAUACUGCUGCCUAGCAGGAAGACCAAACUUGUGCAGUUUAGGGCACCAUCAAAGCAAGAAAAAACAAAAAAUAAGGAAAAAAAUAUUUAGGGGAAUGAUUUUAGCAUUUGAUAAUUUGUUAAUAUGAAAAAAAUCAAACUAUUGUUGGAAUUCCUUUUACUUCUUUUACUCUUCUUUUAUUUUGACUUUUGUAUGUAUAUAUAUGUGAGAGAAUGGUGGUAAGAAGUGGGGAGAACCAAUAUAACUUUUCAGAAGUUAGGUCGAAUAAAGGUCUUAAAUGGGUUCAGAUUAAUGGUAACAGAUUAAUGGAAGCCUGUCUCAGGUACAAGCAGUGUAUCCAUUUUUCUUUUAGAAACUCUAUAAUCUAUCACCGAUAGGUACUCGUUACAACCUAUCUAUUUUGGGCUCAGUAGAAAGGCUUUUACCAAUUGAAGUUAGGCCAUCAACCUGUAUGAAGACAAUGUAAGAAACAUCACAGUGGAAGUUAUGACUAUUUACUGUAGUGCUGAAGAUGUCACUUCAUUCAGAUUCAUUGGGUAUAUUUUAUGAGAACUACAGGAGACAUCUGUUUGGAUCUCAGAGCAGGUUGGACGUCUCCACACAACUGCUUUGCUUACCUGAUGGGCACUGAUCAUGAUAAUGCUUAUGUUUCUCCUUUGCACUGUCUUUCAGAAAGACUAGAACCCACUUUUCAGUCCAACUCUGAACCCUUGCAUGGGGCAUUCGAGUUAUGUGAGCCUAUCUUAACUUCCCUUUUCUUUAAUUUGAAAAUCUAUAUAUUAACUGUUUUCAUUAUAAAUGUAAUGCAUAUUUAGUGAAAAUUUACAAAGGUAUACAAAUGAAUGAAAAAUAUGAAUCAUGAUGUAAUUUUGAUGCAUAGCCUCAGAUUAUG